rnacentral:rRNA from 1 species
UCAAGCGACUAAGCGCAUACAUGUGGAUGCCUAGGCGGUAGGAGGCGAUGAAGGACGUGGAAGUCUGCGAUAAGCCUCGGUGAGCUGACUAACAAGCUUUGAUCCGGGGAUUUCCGAAUGGGGAAACCCGACCACUUCGGUGGUCAUCUCUACCUGAAUAUAUAGGGUAGGGAAGCGAACCUGGUGAACUGAAACAUCUAAGUAACCAGAGGAACAUAAAUCAACCGAGAUUCCCUGAGUAGCGGCGAGCGAACGGGGAACAGCCCAGUCACCAUCAAUCAUUGAAAUCUAGGGGAACAGUCUGGAAAGUCUGGCCAUAGCUGGUGAUAGCCCCGUACCCGAAAGGUGGAUAUGAGGAGUGACGAAGAGUAGGACGGGGCACGUGAAACCUUGUCUGAACAUGGGGGGACCAUCCUCCAAGGCUAAAUACUACCUACCGACCGAUAGUGAACUAGUACCGUGAGGGAAAGGCGAAAAGAACCCCGGAGAGGGGAGUGAAAUAGAACCUGAAACUGUAUGCGUACAAGCAGUGGGAGCCCACUUCGGUGGGUGACCGCGUACCUUUUGUAUAAUGGGUCAGCGACUUACUUUCAGUGGCGAGCUUAACCGUUUUAGGGGAAGCGUAGGGAAACCGAGUCUUAAAUGGGCGAUUUAGUCUCUGGGAGUAGACCCGAAACCGAGCGAUCUAUCCAUGUCCAGGGUGAAGGCAGGGUAAUACCUGCUGGAGGCCCGAACCGGGUAAUGUUGAAAAAUUAUCGGAUGAGGUGUGGAUAGGAGUGAAAGGCUAAUCAAGCUCGGAGAUAGCUGGUUCUCCUCGAAAGCUAUUUAGGUAGCGCCUCGUGUAUCACUCUCGGGGGUAGAGCACUGUUUCGGCUAGGGGGUCAUCCCGACUUACCAACCCGAUGCAAACUCCGAAUACCGAGAAGUGCAAUCACGGGAGACACACGGCGGGUGCUAAGGUUCGUCGUGGAAAGGGAAACAGCCCAGACCGCCAGCUAAGGUCCCUAAAUCAUGGCUAAGUGGGAAACGAUGUGGGAAGGCAGAGACAGCCAGGAGGUUGGCUUAGAAGCAGCCACCCUUUAAAGAAAGCGUAACAGCUCACUGGUCUAGUCGGCCCGCGCGGAAGAUUUACCGGGGCUCAAGCCAUGUACCGAAGCUGCGGAUGCCUGUGCUUCACUUUAGCUUACUUAUGGUGGGUAGUGCGCUUGUAAGCGUGUCGACGACGCGUGAAUAAAGCGCCUUAUCACCUAAUAGACCGCGGGAGCGGUAUGAGUGAGUUAAAGGAAGUGCAGGCAUGGUAGAGGAGCGUUCCGUACGCCUGUGAAGGUGUGUCGUGAGGCAUGCUGGAGGUAUCGGAAGAGAGAAUGCUGACAUGAGUAACGAUAAUGCGGGUGAAAAACCCGCACGCCGAAAGCCCAAGGUUUCCUGCGCAACGCUAAUCGGCGCAGGGUUAGUCGGUCCCUAAGGCGAGACCGAAAGGUGUAGUCGAUGGGAAGCAGGUCAAUAUUCCUGCACCGUUUGUUAUUGCGAUGGGGGGACGGAGAAGGCUAGGUCGGCCGGGUGUCGGUUAUCCCGGUUUAAGCGUGUAGGGAGUGUUCUUAGGUAAAUCCGGGAGCACAAUCUCGAGACGCGAUGACGAGCCCUUUUAUUAGGGUGAAGUGAUUGAUGCCAUGCUUCCAGGAAAAGCCUCUAAGCUUCAGAUAACAAACGACCGUACCGUAAACCGACACAGGUAGGCGAGGAGAGAAUCCUAAGGCGCUUGAGAAAACUCGGGUGAAGGAACUAGGCAAAUUGGUACCGUAACUUCGGGAGAAGGUACCCCUUUCCGCUGGUGAUGAAACUUGCUUUCUGAGCUGGGGGAAGGUUGCAGUGACCAGGUGGCUGCGACUGUUUACUAAAAACACAGCACUCUGCAAACUCGUAAGAGGACGUAUAGGGUGUGACGCCUGCCCGGUGCCGGAAGGUUAAUUGAUGGGGUUAGCUCUUCGGAGCGAAGCUCUUGAUCGAAGCCCCGGUAAACGGCGGCCGUAACUAUAACGGUCCUAAGGUAGCGAAAUUCCUUGUCGGGUAAGUUCCGACCUGCACGAAUGGCGUAACGAUGGCCACACUGUCUCCACCCGAGACUCAGUGAAAUUGAAAUCGCUGUGAAGAUGCAGUGUACCCGCGGCUAGACGGAAAGACCCCGUGCACCUUUACUAUAGCUUUACACUGAAUUUUGACCAUGCUUGUGUAGGAUAGGUGGGAGGCUUUGAAGCGUAGACGCUAGUCUGCGUGGAGCCACCCUUGAAAUACCACCCUGGCCUGUUUGAAGUUCUAACCUUGGUCCGUUAUCCGGACCGGGGACCGUGUAUGGUGGGUAGUUUGACUGGGGCGGUCUCCUCCCAAAGAGUAACGGAGGAGUGCAAAGGUACUCUCAGCGCGGUCGGUCAUCGCGCAUUGUGUGCAAAGGCAUAAGAGUGCUUGACUGCGAGACAGACAAGUCGAGCAGGGACGAAAGUCGGUCUUAGUGAUCCGGUGGUUCUGUAUGGAAGGGCCAUCGCUCAACGGAUAAAAAGGUACGCCGGGGAUAACAGGCUGAUUCCUCCCAAGAGUCCACAUCGACGGAGGAGUUUGGCACCUCGAUGUCGGCUCAUCACAUCCUGGGGCUGUAGCAGGUCCCAAGGGUAUGGCUGUUCGCCAUUUAAAGUGGUACGCGAGCUGGGUUUAGAACGUCGUGAGACAGUUCGGUCCCUAUCUGCCGUGGGCGUUGGAAACUUGAGGGGAGCUGCUCCUAGUACGAGAGGACCGGAGUGGACGUACCUCUGGUGUUCCGGUUGUCACGCCAGUGGCAUUGCCGGGUAGCUAUGUACGGACGGGAUAACCGCUGAAAGCAUCUAAGCGGGAAGCCCCCCCAAGAUUAGGUUUCCCUGGGGACUUGAUCCCCCUGAAGGGCCCUCGAAGACUACGAGGUUGAUAGGCUGGGUGUGGAAGUUCAGUAAUGGAUGAAGCUAACCAGUACUAAUUGCCCGUGAGGCUUGACCA